rnacentral:rRNA from 1 species
CCUACGGGAGGCAGCAGUGGGGAAUAUUGCACAAUGGGGGAAACCCUGAUGCAGCAACGCCGCGUGAGUGAAGAAGUCAUUCGUGAUGUAAAGCUCUAUCAGCAGGGAAGAAAAUGACGGUACCUGAUUAAGAAGCCCCGGCUAACUACGUGCCAGCAGCCGCGGUAAUACGUAGGGGGCAAGCGUUAUCCGGAAUUACUGGGUGUAAAGGGAGCGUAGGCGGCAUGGUAAGCCAGAUGUGAAAGCCCGCGGCUUAACCGCGCGGAUUGCAUUUGGAACUAUCAAGCUAGAGUACAGGAGAGGAAAGCGGAAUUCCUAGUGUAGCGGUGAAAUGCGUAGAUAUUAGGAGGAACACCAGUGGCGAAGGCGGCUUACUGGACUGUAACUGACGUUGAGGCUCGAAAGCGUGGGGAGCAAACAGGAUUAGAUACCCUUGU